GGAAAAGGAAAACUCCCCUGCCCCACUGUCUUUCCCAGCUAAAUGCCCUACUGGAGUCUCAAAUGUGGACCGAAGGGGAUGAGGAGUGGGACCAGAGGGACAAGGACAGUGCUUUAACCAUGUGAAGUGUGAAUGGAAGGAGCAGAGAGUCCUGAGCGAGCUGUUGAUGAACGUGGAGCACGCCUUACGUUCCCUCUGAGACUGGGAAGGAAAUCACAACUCUUUAGCUACUCCGAGAAAAGAAUAGCAAUGUGGAGCAUAGGAAGCGUUUCGCUGGUAUGCCCUGUGUGUCACGGAGGUCUGAGGCACUGGGAGGAGAAGAUGUGAGCUGAGAGGUUCUGCC